rnacentral:rRNA from 1 species
UAGGGAAUCUUCCACAAUGGACGAAAGUCUGACCGAGCAACGCCGCGUGAGUGAAGAAGGUUUUCGGAUCGUAAAACUCUGUUGUUAGAGAAGAACAAGGAUGAGAGUGGAAAGUUCAUCCCUUGACGGUAUCUAACCAGAAAGCCACGGCUAACUACGUG